AACGCACCUUGCGCUCCUUGGUAUUCCGAGGAGCAUGCCUGUUUGAGUGUCAUGAAAUCUUCAACCUACAAGCUCUUUUUUGGGGCUCGUAGGCUUGGAUUUGGAGGCUUGUUGGCCUUUAUUGGUCGGCUCCUCUUAAAUGCAUUAGCUUAGUUCCUUGCGGAUCGGCUGUCGGUGUGAUAAUGUCUACUCCGCGACCGUGAAGUGUCUGGCAAGCUUCUAACCGUCUCUGUUACAGAGACAGCUUUAUGACCUCUGACCUCAAAUCAGGUAGGACUACCCGCUGAACUUAA
rnacentral:misc_RNA from 1 species